rnacentral:rRNA from 1 species
GACGAACGCUGGCGGCGUGCUUAACACAUGCAAGUCGAACGGAAAGGCCCCUUUGGGGGUCCUCGAGUGGCGAACGGGUGAGUAACACGUGAGUAACCUGCCCUUGACUUCGGGAUAACUUCAGGAAACUGGGGCUAAUACCGGAUAGGAAUCCUUGCUGCAUGGUGGGGGUUGGAAAGCUUCGGCGGUUUUGGAUGGACUCGCGGCUUAUCAGCUUGUUGGUGGGGUAGUGGCUUACCAAGGCUUUGACGGGUAGCCGGCCUGAGAGGGCGACCGGCCACAUUGGGACUGAGAUACGGCCCAGACUCCUACGGGAGGAAGCAGUGGGGAAGAUUGCACAAUGGGCGGAAGCCUGAUGCAGCAACGCCGCGUGCGGGAUGACGGCCUUCGGGUUGUAAACCGCUUUCAGCAGGGGCGAAGCUUGUGGUGACGGUACCUGCAGAAGAAGCACCGGCUAACUACGUG